rnacentral:lncRNA from 1 species
AAGCGGCUGAGCGGCGAGGAUACACGCAGCUGAGUGUCAGAGACAAUGGAUAGAUGCGGCUAACUUCAGACGGUGCGGCUUCAGAGAGGGACCUGGCCGGAGACUGCCGGGCUUCAGAGAAAGCUCACGUUCCCAUCUGCUUUCCAGCCUCCCUUUCCGCUGAGAGCCACCCACCGCUCAAUGAAGUCUUCCGCAUUCAUCACCUUUCAAACGGUUCGUGUGAGCUGAUUCUUCCUGGACGCCAAACGAGAACUCAGGUGCCAAGAGGGCAGGGGCUACCACCCUGACUCUCCACUGAGCUGGUUGGCACUUGGCCGUACCUGGACGGCAGAGCUGAAAGAGCGCUGGUUGAAACAUGCAUGGACACUGCUGUGUAGCAUGCAUAGAGCCUGCUCCCUCCAGAGAGGAGCGACCGGCGGGUUCUGGGGUUCGUUUGCUUGGGUUCCUGCACCCGCUUGCUCUUACGCUCCCCCAUGCGAGGAGUGGCCAGUGACGGGCUGAGUGAAACGAGCCACUCCAGUUCCUGCCCAUGAAGGGGGUCAAAGGAACUAUCCCAUCUCAAAUCCAUGAUCAGGUUUAGGUUUGAUAUUUUGACAACGUUACUUCAGAAGGGUUACUGCAAUUACAUUAUUCUUUCAUCUUUGUUGUGCCUGUAAUUGUUUUUCCCCCUUUUUCAUUGUAGGUUUUAUCUAUUGCAAUUUCAUUUUCUCACUCUUUUUCUUUUUUUCUUUUUUCUUUUUUUUUUUUUUGAGACGGAGUCUCACUCUAUUGCUCCAGGCUGGAGUGCAAUAGUGUGAUCUCGGCUCACUGCAACCUCCGCCUCCCAGGUUCAAGCGAUUCUCCUGGCUCAGCCUCCUGAGUAGCUGGGAUUACAGGUGCGCACAACCACGCCCAGCUAAUUUUUGUAUUUUUAGUAGAAAUGGGGUUUCACCAUAUUGGCCAGGCUGGUCUUGAACUCCCGACCUUGUGAUCCGCCCGCCUCAGCCUCCCAAAGUGCUGGGAUUACAGGCGUGAGCCACCGUUCCUGGCCUUUCUCACUCUUUUUCUCGAUCAGUCUUGCCAGAAUUUUAUUUCACUAAUCUUUUCAAAUAAUUAGCUUUUGAUUUGGUCAUUUCUUUCUGUUUUUUCCUUCUCCAUUUUAUUGAUUUUUGCCUUUCUUUACUUAUUUUUCCUUCUUGUUUCUUGGCUCUGUUGAUCUUAUUCCAACUUCUUGAAUUUACAGUUUUACUUGUGUUUGAAGUUAUAAUUUCUAUCUACUGCUGUAAGUCCUACACAUUUUGAUACAUUGCCAUUUCAUUGAUACUCUAAGCAACUAGCAAUUUGCUAUACUUUUUUUUUUUUUUUACCUUUUAAAAUAUAUUAUUUAGUUUCCAG